CCUGGAUAUGUCAAGAAGAUUCAGGAAGGGAAGCCCCCCUGCUGCUAUGAUUGCACUCCCUGCUCAGAAGGGACCGUCUCCACUCAGGAAGGUAGGCCAAGACCUCAGGAAAAACCGUCUUACCUGGGAGGAUGGGGCAAAGGUUUGAGCCAGCCUAAGCAUGAUGUUUGUAAUGGCAUCCCAUGAGUGAAAUGCCUCUCAGGUUUUUGGAGGUUCAAAGAGCAGCACUAGGAGGGAUGAGCAGUUUUAACGGGGGGAAAGCAUGUCCACCUCUUUGAUCAAUGCACACAUGCACAGGUCAUCAGCUGACAAUUAUGCCUUUGAAGCCCUACCCAUCACACAACUCAAAAAGUGGCAUCACCAAAUGGGGUGACCUGCUGAGCUAAGUUUAAUCCAGUGGCCAGAGGUUCCCAGCACCAGUUUACACUUAAUAGAAGCGCUUCUGAAAUAUCUCACAGGCCAAGCUUUUCUAGCCAUGCUCCACAUGAUCUAUUUUGGUGGAUGAGACCAUGGAUCGAGAUGUUUUUGCCAGUGAACUUUUGCUUCUCUCUUUCCCAACAAAACUGUGUUCUUUUUUUAUCUCUUCUAUAUGCCUACCUUCCCCAUAUGCCUAGCUUGGUUUACAACUGCUGUUAGGAUACUGGAGUCUCUUUUUCUCUCUGCAGAUACUGCCAAAUGCACCAAAUGUUCAAAAGAUCAGCAUCCAAAGAAAGACAAAAAUCAAUGUGUACCCAAAACAAUCACCUUCCUGUCCUAUGAAGAACCUUUGGGGAGCAUCCUAGGUUCCUUUGCCAUCCUCAUAUCCUUAGCCACAGUUUUUGUGUUAGAAAUCUUUAUUAAAUACAAAGCCACUCCCAUAGUCAAAGCCAACAAUAGGGAUCUCUCCUACAUCCUCCUCAUCUCCCUCCUUCUCUCAUUUUUGUCCUCCUUCCUCUUCAUUGGCCAGCCAAGAAAAGGGACCUGCCUUUUGCGCCAAACAGCCUUCAGCAUCAUCUUCUCAGUUGCUGUCUCUUCCGUCUUGGCAAAAACCAUCACUGUGGUGCUGGCCUUCCUGGCCACUAAGCCAGGGAGCAGGGCGAGGAGAUGGCUGGGGAGAAGUCUGGCCAAUGCUGUUGUCAUUUCCUGUUCCAGUGUCCAAAUUCUCAUCUGCACCACCUGGCUGAGUACCUCUCCCCCAUUCCCAGAGUCUGACAUGCACUCCCAACCUGCAGAGAUUAUCCUGCAAUGCAAUGAAGGGUCUGUG